ACGUACACUCCUGCGGGAGGCAGCAGUGGGGAAUAUUGGACAAUGGGCGAAAGCCUGAUCCAGCAAUGCCGCGUGAGUGAUGAAGGCCUUAGGGUUGUAAAGCUCUUUUACCCGGGAUGAUAAUGACAGUACCGGGAGAAUAAGCCCCGGCUAACUCCGUGCCAGCAGCCGCGGUAAUACGGAGGGGGCUAGCGUUGUUCGGAAUUACUGGGCGUAAAGCGCGCGUAGGCGGCUUUGUAAGUUAGAGGUGAAAGCCCGGAGCUCAACUUCGGAAUUGCCUUUAAGACUGCAUCGCUAGAAUCGUGGAGAGGUGAGUGGAAUUCCGAGUGUAGAGGUGAAAUUCGUAGAUAUUCGGAAGAACACCAGUGGCGAAGGCGACUCACUGGACACGUAUUGACGCUGAGGUGCGAAAGCGUGGGGAGCAAACAGGAUUAGAAACCCCUGUAGUCCC
rnacentral:rRNA from 1 species